GUGUCAGCAGCCGCGGUAAUACGUAGGUGGCAAGCGUUGUCCGGAAUUAUUGGGCGUAAAGAGCAUGUAGGCGGGAAUCUAAGUCUGUUGUGAAAAUGCGGGGCUCAACCCCGUAUUGCGAUGGAAACUGGGUUUCUUGAGUGCAGGAGAGGAAAGGGGAAUUCCCAGUGUAGCGGUGAAAUGCGUAGAUAUUGGGAGGAACACCAGUGGCGAAGGCGCCUUUCUGGACUGUGUCUGACGCUGAGAUGCGAAAGCCAGGGUAGCGAACGGGAUUAGAUACCCCGGUAGUCCUGGCCGUAAACGAUGGGUACUAGGUGUAGGGGGUAUCGACCCCCCCUGUGCCGGAGUUAACGCAAUAAGUACCCCGCCUGGGGAGUACGGCCGCAAGGUUGAAACUCAAAUGAAUUGACGG
rnacentral:rRNA from 1 species